CCCCUUAUCCAUCAAAAUUUCCGAUCCACAAACAUAAAAACCUACAACCCUAACAUGUCAAACACCCAACCACAAUACCAAGAGCAUAUCCCGUACCACCAACAACAACUAUAUCAUCAUCAAGACAUCCAACAUCGCUAUACACCCAACACAUCACCCUAUCAUAGCCGCCUUAACCAAAAUACUCAACGAUCAUUCAACACCAACC
rnacentral:lncRNA from 1 species